UAUUCAGGAGUUGAUCAUGGUGAAAAAAGGGCAAUAUUUUACUAGAAAUAGUGCUAAAGAGGACACAUUUCACGGAGCGACACGGCUGAGCCCAGAAAACAACUACUCACUCUGUCACGAAAGCAACUCAGAGUAUGGUCAAUGCAAUGAAUGACUGACUGCCUAGUGAAACUACACUAAAUUUUUUGUCUUUGAUCAGUGAAACGGAGUACAUAACUUCAUAAGUAUCAUCGUCAACAGAUGUACUCUGCAACAAAGUCCAGUUGUCCUCACUGUGCAAGACAAGACAAGACCAAUCAACCUAUGGUGCUUCCAUUGUUCCUUACUCUGGCAUUGUGAAGGGAAGAGGACAUUCCUAUAAUCUGUUGAAAACCUUUGAGGGACUGUACUUGCCAUCUCCAGCUUUAGAAACUUUGGAGAGAAAUCAGUCUCAAAUAUCUGUUGGACUGGGUCACUCGAUCACCAGAUACUUAGCAGUUCAGAAAACAAGUAAUCUUGCCUGAAGCCUGGUGAACACCAGCCAUAAAAAACCCACAGGCGAGUUAACUAAGCCCAAACUGCAAAUGACAAAGCCAUUUGCCAUCAUUGCCAAUGCAUAUUGCUAUAAAUUUAAGAGGGAGAAAAAAGCAUAUUUCAAUUGGCCUUCAAGUGUUCUUUCCUUAACUGAAUGAAAACGUCUACAUUCAUGUGACAAUUUUCAACAUAAUA